rnacentral:misc_RNA from 1 species
UCCCCGUUGCCGGGGCAGUCUCAUUAGAAAAAUACAACUAAUGACAAGGGUUGCGCUCGUUGAUGGACUUAACCAAACAUCUCACGACACGAGCUGACGACGGCCAUGCAACAGCUGUCACCAAGUUCAAUAAAGCACUCCUACCUUUCGGUAAGAUUCUUGGGAUUUCAAACCCUGGUAAGGUUUAUCGUUUAUCAUCGAAUUAAAGAACACAAUCCACCGCUUGUGCGGGUCCCCGUCAAUUCCUUUAUGUUUUAGUCUUGCGACCGUACUCCACAGGCGGGAUACUUAACGCGUUAGCUUCGCUACUGGGGGGGUCGAUACCCCCAACAGCUAGUAUCCAUCGUUUACGGCGUGGACUAC